CCUACGGGUGGCAGCAGUGGGGAAUAUUGCACAAUGGGGGAAACCCUGAUGCAGCGACGCCGCGUGAAGGAAGAAGUAUUUCGGUAUGUAAACUUCUAUCAGCAGGGAAGAAAAUGACGGUACCUGACUAAGACGCCCCGGCUAACUACGUGCCAGCAGCCGCGGUAAUACGUAGGGGGCAAGCGUUAUCCGGAUUUACUGGGUGUAAAGGGAGCGUAGGCGGUUUAGCAAGGCAGAAGUGAAAGCCCGGGGCUGAACUCCGGGACUGCCUUUGAAACUGUUGAACUAGAGUGCAGGAGAGGUAAGUGGAAUUCCUAGUGUAGCGGUGAAAUGCGUAGAUAUUAGGAGGAACACCAGUGGCGAAGGCAGCUUACUGGACUGUAAAUGACGCUGAGGCUCGAAAGCGUGGGGAGCAAACAGGAUUAGAUACCCCAGUAGUC
rnacentral:rRNA from 1 species